CCUCACUUCCCGCCGGACCCAAGUCAGACCCGGGCCCAGGCCCAGCCUCCAUCUGGUUUGCAAAAAUCCGAAGGACCCUGCCGGGCUUUGCUCCGCCCUAUGCUACGCCCCUUCUCCGCCUGGUACCAUCAGAAUUAACCUCCCGAGUGAGCUCAGGCCCCACCCCUGCCCGGUACCCCGGGAGAACGUGCCCUGGCCCCUCCCCCUCUUCUCUGGGCGCCGUCCGGAUGGCCCCGCCCCUCCCAGGCCCCGCCCUGUCUAGCGUCUUCCCCACGCGGCUCCGGCGGCCGCAUCCUUCGACUCAGCUCCGUGAGCUGAGCUGCAACCAUGGCGGUCACCGCUGAGGGCGCCCGUAGGAAGGAGCGCGUCCUCUGCCUGUUUGACGUGGACGGUACCCUCACGCCGGCUCGCCAGAAAAUUGACCCUGAGGUGGCUGCCUUCCUGCAGAAGCUGCGCAGUAGGGUGCAGAUCGGCGUGGUGGGCGGCUCCGACUACUCUAAGAUUGCCGAGCAGCUGGGAGAGGGGGAUGAAGUCGUCGAGAAGUUUGAUUAUGUGUUUGCUGAGAACGGAACCGUGCAGUAUAAGCACGGACGACUACUGUCCAAGCAGACCAUCCAGAACCACCUGGGCGAGGAACUCCUGCAGGACUUGAUCAAUUUCUGCCUCCACUACAUGGCCCUGCUCAGGCUGCCCAAGAAGCGGGGAACCUUCAUCGAGUUCCGGAACGGCAUGCUGAACAUCUCGCCCAUCGGCCGCAGCUGCACCCUGGAGGAGCGCAUCGAGUUCUCCGAGCUGGACAAGAAGGAGAAGAUCCGGGAGAAGUUUGUGGAAGCCCUGAAAACAGAGUUUGCCGGCAAAGGGCUGAGGUUCUCCCGAGGAGGCAUGAUCAGCUUUGACGUCUUCCCUGAGGGCUGGGACAAGCGCUACUGCCUGGACUGCCUGGACCAGGACUGCUUCGACACCAUCCACUUCUUUGGGAAUGAGACCAGCCCUGUAAGUGUGGCUCAGACUCAGCCCAGGUCCCCCCACCUCAGGUCGCCCCCAGAUCAAGGUCAGGACACAGUUGGGACAGAACAGACCUCCUGAGCAACUCCCAGAGAACAGCCACUGCUCGCCAGCCCCAGUACCCAGAUUGGAAGGCGGGGGCCCAGAGCUGGCUGGACACUUGCCCCACGUCCCAGAGCAAGUCAGGGCAGAUCUGAUGAAGAAGGGCGGGAACGACUUUGAAAUCUACACCGACCCCCGGACCGUUGGCCACAGCGUGGUGUCCCCGCAGGACACCGUGCAGCGAUGCCGUGAGAUCUUUUUCCCAGAGACGGCUCACGAGGCGUGACCAGGGGCCCUCGGGACUUCCAGAAAGCUCUGCCUAGGCCUGAAGAGAGCCCCUGGCCCUGGUGUGUCGGGGAAAGGCAGGGGGCACCGGAACCCCUCCUGUUACCUGCUGAAGGCCCACCUCCGUGGGCCCAGGGUCUAGGGGGACAGCCACCCCCAGCCCGUCUGCCCCUGUGGGACUGGCCCCCGUCCUCCACCCCAGGGCCCUGGCUACAGCUGCUGCCCGCACUUCUGAACAGAGCAGGUUUCUGUCUACGCGGGAAGCGUGUGCGGGUGUUGGUACGCGGCAGAGCCCGCCCUGCCUGCCUGCCUGCCCUGGGUGGUGUGGGCAGCGAGGAAGGUACAUACUUGCGAGAACUUUAUCUCAUGGAUAUUAAAUGUCAGGAACCAGACAUGGAA